rnacentral:rRNA from 1 species
AGGGCACCACCAGGAGUGGAGCCUGCGGCUUAAUUUGACUCAACACGGGAAAACUCACCCGGCCCGGACACUGGAAGGAUUGACAGAUUGAGAGCUCUUUCUUGAUUCAGUGGGUGGUGGUGCAUGGCCGUUCUUAGUUGGUGGAGUGAUUUGUCUGGUUAAUUCCGAUAACGAACGAGACUCUAGCCUACUAAAUAGAUCGUCGGCUUACAAACGCCGGCGAGACUUCUUAGAGGGACAGGCGGUGAUUCAACCGCACGAAACAGAGCAAUAACAGGUCUGUGAUGCCCUUAGAUGUCCGGGGCCGCACGCGCGCUACACUGAAGUGAUCAGCGUGCUUUUUCAACCUACUCUGUCAAGAGUGGGGAACCCAAUGAACCUUCUUCGUGAUAGGGAUAGGGGAUUGUAAUUAUUCCCCUUGAACGAGGAAUUCCCAGUAAGCGCGAGUCAUAAGCUCGCGUUGAUUACGUCCCUGCCCUUUGUACACACCGCCCGUCGCUACUACCGAUUGAAUGUUUU